rnacentral:rRNA from 1 species
UACGAAGGGGGCUAGCGUUGCUCGGAAUCACUGGGCGUAAAGGGUGCGUAGGCGGGUCUUUAAGUCAGAGGUGAAAUCCUGGAGCUCAACUCCAGAACUGCCUUUGAUACUGAGGAUCUUGAGUACGGGAGAGGUGAGUGGAACUGCGAGUGUAGAGGUGAAAUUCGUAGAUAUUCGCAAGAACACCAGUGGCGAAGGCGGCAUUCUGGACCGAUAUUGACGCUGAGGAGCGAAAGCCAGGGGAGCAAACGGG